GGGGGCGUUCUGGUUUCGACGGGACGUUUGACGCGCUGGUUGCACGUGGAGGUUGAUCGGUUGGCCUCUUGAAAAGCCGAUCAAAACAAACAAAUGCAGACUCCAACGAGCUCGCAUUGGCUGCUUAAUUGACAGCCACGUCCGACCCCCGAUGUCUGCUGAGGGGAAGGGCGAAACCUAGCAGGCUGGGUUGAGGGUCGGGUAACCGGGCUCGCUUCCGAGAUCAAACAGGUUUCUAGGAGACACAACGCUGCCGAUGGGCCUAGUUCUCUGAAACUCCAGACCGUCGGCUAAACGUGUAGAUGCCAGGGCUGAAGGCGUUUCGGACAG
rnacentral:tmRNA from 1 species